CCUACGGGAGGCAGCAGUGAGGAAUAUUGGUCAAUGGGCGCAAGUCUGAACCAGCCAAGCCGCGUGCAGGAUGAAGGCUCUACGGGUCGUAAACCGCUUUUGUACGAGGAUAACACCCUCCACGUGUUUAGGUCUGCAGGUAUCGUGCGAAUAAGGGCCGGCUAAUUCCGUGCCAGCAGCCGCGGUAAUACGGAAGGCCCGAGCGUUAUCCGGAUUAAUUGGGCUUAAGGGGUGCGUAGGCGGGCGUUAAAGUUAGGGGUAAAAUCGCGGGGCUCAACCCGGACCCGCAGUUGAAACUGGUCGUCUAGAGAUCACAGGCGGUAGGCGGAAUGCGUGGUGUAGCGGUGAAAUGCAUAGAGAGCA
rnacentral:rRNA from 1 species